rnacentral:rRNA from 1 species
CUACGGGGCGCUGCAGUCAAGAAUCUUCCUCAAUGGCCGCAAGGCUGAAGGAGCGACGCCGCGUGUAUGAAGACGCCUUUCGGGGUGUAAAAUACUUUUCUUUGGGACGAAUUUUGACGGUACCAAAGGAAUAAGGGGCUGCUAACCUCGUGCCAGCAGCAGCGGUAAUACGAGGGCCCCUAGCGUUAUCCGGAUUUAUUGGGCGUAAAGGGUCCGUAGGCGGUUUGUCACAUCUCCUGUUAAAUCCUGAGGCUCAACCUCGGGGCCGCGGGAGAUAUGGACAAACUAGAGGCCGGACGGGCAAGCGGAAUUGCUGGUGUAGGGGUUAAAUCCGUUAAUAUCAGCAGGAACACCAAAUGCGAAAGCAGCUUGCUGGGACGGUUCUGACGCUCAGGGACGAAAGCGUGGGUAGCGAAUGGGAUUAGAUACCCUCGUAGUC